GUUACAAUUAUAAUAAAUUUAAAAGUUGAGGUUUUUUAUCUAAAAUUAAAAAUUUAAAGUUGAGAUCUUUUUAAACCCAUAGCACUUUAUUUAUUUAUUUCCUCUAAGUGGGUUAUAUCAGUAUAAUUAGAUUUUAUCUUAUCUCCCACCCCAUCCACUCAAAAGAAAAAGUAACAACUUGACUUCUCCCAAAAAAGUUUUGUUUAUUGUAUAUGUUUAAUCAUUCACUCACCAUUUGGAAUAUUUGCUAGAACCACUUAUAACAUAAAGUAAUUUUAAGAUCCUCAUGGCUCUUUUAUUUUCUUUCUCAUAUAAAGAAUCAACUGAUGGGAUCUAAUAUAUUAAUGGCAUUCAGUACGCCCAUUUGGUUUUUCCAUGGCGAUGUCCCUUGCAUAGCAAGUAUGAUCAUUUGCAUGAUUUUUGGUUUAGCUAUCUGCAGUAUCUUGAUUCUAGUUGUUCAGUAAAGAUGUUGGUUUUAGGUGGGUUCUACUUUUCCAAGAUACAAAUGGACUUCUAUUCAAGGCAAUUCCAGCUUCAUUGGGUGUCAGUGGCACCAAACAAUACCACGUUAACUCUCUUGCUGUUCCUCGGAAAGCUAAAGAAGAAAUUGGAGGAAUUACCAGGCUUACUCACGCUGAUGGUUCUGAACUCAAAUUUAGAGGGGCUUUUCAUGGAGCCAAGCUUUUUUUUCCCCUUCUGCAUCUUCUUCUCCUUUUGUUUAGAGGUGGAUAGGAGGUGAUAAGAGUUGCAUUGCUUGGUGUAUUGGUAGAAGUUUUGGUUGUGCCUUACUAAGUGAUUAAUUCUGCUGGAGUUCCAUGCUUCUUUUUCCUCCACAUGUUGCCUAAUUAUCAAAGGACGGUUGAUGGUGAUUAAUGUUGAAUACAAUCAGCUUGAUCCUCUGCUUAAAGCGUCUGGGUAUCCUGAUGGAGAUGUCAACUGUGAAACAGGCUACUCUCCUUUCCUGUCAACUGUGAAACAGGCUACUCUCCUUUCCUGGGAAGUAUAAACCAAUUGAUUUUGGAACUUGGUCCUUAUAUUGAGGAGCUCAAGAAAACAGGAGGUGCUAUUAUGGAGUCUGUUAACCCAAAAUACAAAGACGUCAGAAAAACGUCAUUCAAGUCUUCAACUCAGCUUGAAUGUAUGAUGCAAGAUUAUCCAAAAACAUUGCCCCCAUCAGCAAGGGCUGGAUUUACAGUAACUAUCUUUUCCAGAGGAAAAUAAAUUUAACUAAUAGCAUCCAAAUUUUUGUCCAUGGGCUUGAGCAUGCAGGUCGCUAAGGUGCUUUUAUUACUGUUAUACUCCUUGCUAAGGUGAUGGAUACAUGGCUUGCUUAUGCACCUGUGAAGAACAAUCCUUCUUGGUAACCAUAACUGUUGCUUUAGGAAAUUUCUAAAAUUUGGAAUGUGCUGAUGAAGAUACAGAAAAGGUUAAGAAGCAAGUGUAGGAAGCCUUGACACGGUUAGUCUUCAAAGUUCAUUUGGAGAUCGGAAAGGCUCUGGAAAAUUAUAUAAAGUUAAUCUUUUGUUCUGUAGUGGUAGAAUUUGUUUGAUCGCGAUGUUUACAUUAUUUUGCAUCGUACAAAAUUUAACUUUUUUUUUGAGAUGCAAAAGAAUUUUCAUUAAUAAGCAUACAAAAUUUAACUGAGAUACCCUUUUUAAUGGGUUGUGAAUUCGAGUGAGUGUCACUUCACUUUCAAAUUGCUCAGAAAAUGAUGUUGAAGGUUUAAAUUGGAUACUUAGGUAUUUCUUUCUCUGGCUGAUAAUAUUUGCACCUAAUAUCUACUUCAGCGCUAUGCUGUUUAUACCUGCUUAAGUUAAAGCUUAAAUGUCAAGUUAUAAGCAGUUCUAUUACAGCAAGGUUGAUGGUGCUUUUUUUUUAUCCAUACAUAGUUGAUAUAAGUAAAAUGAUGUGUUUUAGAUGUUUUUAAUGUAUGCAUUUGAAUGCACCAUUUUUCCAACCGUUUAAUUCUAAUUUAAUUAGUGAAAGGUACUAAAGAUGGUUCUCUAGUUAUGUCCAUCUUACAUGUAGGAGCCCCUUCAGGAUCUCAUUCCUUAGUUAUUUGUGCUUUGAAAAUGGGUUGUGUCUUCUGUCCAAAAACACAGCGAGAUAGAUUAUGAAGCGAGGUCAAUAAUUGAAAUUAGAUGGUAAGGAAUAUAUUCUUGCCAUCACAGUGUCAUUAUGCCACUGAGAUUUGCAUUUUUACAAAGGAAUCUGAUAUUAGUAUUCCCCGUAUGGAGAAUUAAUUCCUAGGCUGGCUGGUUUUUUGCAUGUCCUGUCAGCUGCCAGAAGAAUGAGAGGGAGUAAUGAAACACUGUAUUAAGGACACAGUAUAGGUUCAGUGCUAUCCCAUCAUUGGCCAUGAGAAUAAGAGAGCACAACAGAGCAAUGGAAUACUAUCUUAAGGACAGAGUGUAGAUUGACUACUGAAUUCAUAACAGUUAUAUUUUAUUGUAUCAUUGAACGAAAUGUUUUUGAUUGUGGGGGAAUAAAGUUUUGAGCUUAGGUUGCCAGCUUAUUGUUUGUCUUAUUUAAUUUAGUUUAAUUAAGGUACCUAAGGGAAAUCCAUAUCACAGUGCGACCUCUGGAGAAAUGGCUGUUUAUCCUGCAAACAGCCUCAUUCUCAGAAAGAUAAAUUUGCUUCUUUCAGUAUAUUUACUUUGAACUUGUCUUCAUACUGUCUCGCUCUCUCAGUGUAUCUGCUCUAGGCUGGUGUCCAAGUGGAUGGUCCAGUUCACCAGGUGUUUAAUGGGCAAGAGGUGGAAGUGUGGUCUCGAACCACAUGGAAUCCAAAAUGGGGAUUGAAGUUUUCAGAUGUCAAAAAUAAAGUUAGCGGAAGCUGCUCCAUCUCUCAAAGAUCUACGAUGGCCAUUAAGGGUCUUAAUGUCUUUGUUGAAGACCUGUCCUUGGAUGGAGGUCUUCUGAUAGAAUCUGUUGAUGAAUCAGAGGUAAAAGUAGGAGGUACCUUGCAGAACAAAGGUUGGAUCCUCCAAAAUGUUUACCGCAAAGAUACUUCAGUCCCUGAGGAGAUAAGGAUUAGGGGCUUCAAAAUCAAUAAAAUUGAGCAGCCUGAGAAGCAUAAUAGUGAGCCUGGCAAGUUUGACUUGAAGGCGAAUUUAUACAGACAUAGCAUCAUCUCUUUUCAAGUAAAAGUUUUCCAUGCUCAUCCAAUAUCCAAACCAUUUAUGGAGCUCCUUUAGUGCCAUGCCUUUGUUAUUUACAUCGGGCUAUAAAUAGUUGUAAGCAUUGCUGUUGUUUUCCAAUUCGUUUACUCAUUUUUGGAUUUCAAUUCUCUUAAUUCAUUUUGUUUGUUUGAAGGAAUAAUAAUGCAUGAAUAUGUUCAAUCAAAAAGCUUUUCCUGCUGAUUCAAAAUAAAAAAAAAGAAAGCUUUUCCUGCAUGAAUAUCUCUGUAGCAUGUGCAUAUUCCAAGUUCCAUUUCUGAAUUGGCCUUAUGCAUUGAGAUUACAGAGGAAGCUUUUGCUGGGCUUGUGUGUGUUUUCUUUAUUUUUAAAAAUAAUUGUUUUAACUCCUGUUUAAUGAGGAUGCCUUUGCGAGAGAUGAUUUGUUGGUUUUUCAUGCAUAUCAGCAAAGUUGAGCUUUUCUAGUCCUAAAAAUGGAAAGCAAACAGAAGAUUUGCAAGUUUUAAUAUACUAUGCAUUUUUCACUUCUCUCUUUAUUCCUGUAAGAUUUUUGCGGAAAUCAAGUUUUUUUUU